AGGACUUAGUGUAUUUGUUCAACUGGUGGACAAAGUCAGGAAGACAGGUACAAAAAUAAAUCCUAUUUUGAAAUCCAGAACUCAUUAUUCAGUAUGAAUUGUGAAAAGUAAUAUGAGAAGAGCAUA